ACCAAACCAAUGCAGACCAAACCAAUGCAGAACUCCUAUGUGCUGAUGGUGGUCUUACAUUUCCCUAAGUUUCUGCCGACUAAACUGUGCACACGUUCUCAGGACCUCCUGAAGCUGCGUCACAGGCACUAAUCAAAGAACACAACCAAGAGUUUGGCCUUUUCUUCAGCACUGGGAAUUGUGAUCCAAAGCUUUUCCUGAUGAGGCACAAAGUUGGAGAAACACAACGCAAACUAAACAACAAUGAAACAGAACAGAGUGAAUCUGCUGUAGCUCAAGAGAGGACGUAGCUGCCCCCACUCCGCAUCCCCGGGCUCGGGUUUGCCUUGCUGACCUCUGCUGCCACCUGGUGCUGCACAGAGAAACUGAGGAGAAACCACAUCAGUCUCCUUCAGCCUCAGCUUCACAUCUGUGGGUCAAGCAACCCUUUCAGAAGCUGUAUAAUGUGGGAAAGCUUUCCUCUCAGGAAAAUGCACACAUCCAACUUUGAGAAGAUGCCCUUGGGGGUGCUUCAAGGAUCCUAGAUAAUAACCCCCUUUCCCGAACAUCCAAGAACCUAAGUUUUUUUUUUUUUUUUGAGAAAGUCUCGCUCUCUCUCCCAUUCUGGAGUGCAGUGGCGUGAUCUUGGCUCACUGCAAGCUCCACCUCCCAGGUUCAAGCCAUUCUCCUGCCUCAGCCUCCCAAGUAGCUGGGGCUACAGGCACCUGCCACCACACCCGGCUAAUUUUUUUGUAUUUUUAGUAGAGACGGGGUUUCACCGUGUUAGCCAGAAUCGUCUUGAUCUCCUGACCUUGUGAUCCACCCGCCUCGGCCUCCCAAAGUGCUGGGAUUACAGGUGUGAGCCACCACGCCUGGUCCAAGAACCCAACUUUUAGAUCUAGAGUGAUGUCAGCAUGACAUUGAUUUCCUGAGGCCCAGGGGUGAAGGAGCUGAGGACAGCAGAGGGGUGAAGGAAGUCAGCUACAGACAGCAGCAGCUGAUGCACAGGCCUCCCAGUGCCUGAAGUCACCCGGAAUUGGGAAGUGCUCAGAAGCUUACAAAGCUGCCUCGAGGAAUCAUUCUAGCCUUCUCGUCUUGCUAAUUUGUAACCUCCCACUUCAACAGUGAGAAAGCUGGUUCCCACCAUCUGCGACUUAUACGGCACCGAAAGCGAAGGAAGCUCCUGCUCCUCCUAAAGCCGAAGCCAAAGCGAAGGCCUUAAAGGCCAAGAAGGCAGUGUUGAAAGGUGUCCGCAGCCACACGCAAAAAAGAAGAUCCGCAUGUCACUCACCUUCAGGCGGCCCAAGACACUGCGACUCCGGAGGCAGCCCAGAUAUCCUCGGAAGAGCACCCCCAGGAGAAACAAGCUUGGCCACUAUGCUAUCAUCAAGUUUCCGCUGACCACUGAGUCGGCCGUGAAGAAGAUAGAAGAAAACAACACGCUUGUGUUCACUGUGGAUGUUAAAGCCAACAAGCACCAGAUCAGACAGGCUGUGAAGAAGCUCUAUGACAGUGAUGUGGCCAAGGUCACCACCCUGAUUUGUCCUGAUAAAGAGAAGGCAUAUGUUCGACUUGCUCCUGAUUAUGAUGCUUUCGAUGUUGUAACAAAAUUGGGAUCACCUAAACUGAGUCCAGCUGGCUAACUCUAAAUAUAUGUGUAUCUUUUCAGCAUAAAAAAAAUAAUGUUUUUCAUAAGAAUGACAACUUAAUUAGAAUCAAAUCUAUAAGCUUUAAGAUUUUACGUUUCUAGUAAGUAUAAUAUUAGCUUAUUUGACUAGAACUCAAGCAGAAUAGGAAUUUAUGCUUGUUUUAUAUUCAAUAAUGAUAAUUUUGAAGAUAUAGUUGUUUUAUUACACCAAAAAUACUAUAUUAAUCUUAUUUAACUAAGUUUUAUCCAAAUCAUGUUAACUUAAGAAACAUUUGAUCAGUUCCUAUAUUUCUAGGAGUUUGGUGAAUAUUUAUUUAUAAAUGCUUAUUUUUUUCCAAGCCAAGUUAGAAUAGAGCACUUUUAGAGGUUUUCAUAAAUGAAUUUUGCAAUGCUCUCUGGAGUUAAGAAAAUAUCACAUAUACAUAACAUACAUUAAUAGAUACACAAACACAAAUAGAGAUUUCAUAGCUUUCAUCCUGAAAUUUCAGCCAUGAAUCAGGCAUAAAUAUUCUGAUGGUUAAUUUCAGACAUCUACUUGAUCGGAUUGAGAGACACACAUAGCUGGUCAAACACGAUUUCAGCCAUGAAUCAGGCAUAAAUAUUCUGAUGGUUAAUUUUAGACA
ensembl:lncRNA novel transcript